AGAACUUUAACAUCUAGGAAUGUCACAGUGAGGGAAAGGAAGGGCCUGCUUGAUGCAAAAGACCAAAGAGAUAUCAUAAGGUUGCAAAUAGCUGGAGACCUGGAGUGACAUAAGACUUCCUGCGAUAUUCUGCUCAAAAUCAAGGAAAGGCUAUCAGAAUCAACUUUGUCAGAACUCUGGAAAACAGACCAAAGUUUACAGUGUCAAGUUAAUUCUGAAACCACAAAAAUGCAACUUUAAAAUGGGUCCUGGGAAUGAAGCUGUGGUUUUGGUCAAAAGUGACAUUAUCUACUUUAAUCCAAAGACCCUGAAGUAUCCUCCAAAGGGAAGUCAGGAGCUGGGGGUUCUUGGGAUUUUAAAGACCACAUAAUUUCUCUCUGAAAAUAUCCAUUUGGAAGAGCUCAUAUAGUCCAAGCCAACUAGUGGAGAAUGUAGAAAAUAUCAAGAGAAGAUACUGGACUCAAAACAUUUAUGGAAAAGAGAACCAUGGACAGCAUCAUAGAGUUGGCCUUGCAAGAGACAUUGUGCCUCAACAGGCAGCACCAUGACCUUCAUGCAGAGCCCUGGAGAAGGCAAGAGCUUGUAAUGAUUCCUCAGGCUUCUGAAUGAAGAGUCAUAAAGUGUAACUUUGCACUGGAGAUGGGUGGUGAAUUUUUAUGCCCACAAACCUUGGAAGAGUCAAGAAUUGCAGCAACAGAGAGAUGCACUCUCCACCCCCUCCACCUUGCUCAGUGCCCCCCAGAGGCUGGCAUCUAUGGACUGCAUCAAUGAGACUUCCUCACGCACUGGGUUGGGUUCAGCCAGGCCAGCAGGAAACCUGAGGACAAGAGGCCAGAGCAGGCUGGGCCUUCACCUCCAGCUCCAUCGCAGCCCAGCCCCAAAUUAACAACAGCUGCAUUGCUCUACUGAAAAUCACAACUCCUGUUGGCAGCCCUUCUGCAACUGUCACUUGCUUGGGGUGUGGUUUCUGCAUCAUGUCGGGUGGGGGACAAGUAUGGGAAGAGAUUCUUGAUGGUCUUAGUCCCAAGGUGCUUUCCAUCUCUUGCUGGUUCCUUCAAACCCUCACCCUUGUGACCUGUCCCUUCACUGUACUCUCUUCAAUCCUCCUCUUAAGGGUGUGCCAUCUUCUUCCUGCUCAGACCCUGAGCCUCUUCAGGGCUCUCUGCUUCUAGCAAAGGGCUGCAGGGGGCUCCAACACAGAACCAGGGCUGUCUGCAAACCCUGUCCCUGCCAUGAGAAGCUUCUCCAUGCCAGAGACAAGUACAAAAUACCUCUCUCCAGCAGAUUGCCCUGAACCUAGGGGGGCAGGGGCUUCAAACCAUGAUGUCUCUCGUUUCUCUGAUCCACUAGCCAUGAAGAGUUGGUAAAUAAGCCCAACUCACCUCCCAGCAGUCCAUUUGAACGUAAGAAUCUAGGCGAGCUAACAGAGAUGGAAAUCUCCAUGCAUCCGCACAGGCUAGAAACAGGGGUGCUGUGAAGCCAGCCACUGUAGCCAAAUCACUCCCAGAGCAAAGUUCUGCUCCUGUGCCUCUCACCCAGCGGGUGUCAAUCAGGCAGAGAACAGGGAGAGAACAGAUGCAAACAAGCCAACUAAAAAUACACCCGUAGCAGACUUCGUUAAAUGUGCAGGAACAUUCUCAGUCCCUGGGGCAAUGAUGGGACCUCCGGAUCUCAAGAGGCAGAAGAGGGAUGGCAACUAAAGUAAAACCCAGUAUAAAAACAAUAGCAGUCGUGACAAAAAUAUACACCCAAUACGAAAAGAAAUCCAAAACUGUUCAUGAUCAAAUCCUAUGGGAUACUAACACCUAAUUAUUAAUCAAGUUGAACCAGAAUGAGCUAUGGCCUCGGGAUCAGCUUCCUUCCACUGCCCGAGCCCAUCAUUCACCCUGUGUGUGCUACUAACCCCAUGCUCUCCAGGAGAUGCGAAAGGGGGCCCAUGUCAGGACUGCUUCCAGACAAUGCAGGAGGCUCCAACCAGGUGAGGCCUGAAGGCCAGGCACAGAUGACGGCAGACAAGCAAACAACCCCUCCACCAGCACCCACCACACUCCCGACAGCAAGAAAGCAAAGGAUGUUCCUGACUCGGGUUUAGAACCACCAGGAAAAUAAAAGACUGGUUUUACAUCCAUGAAGGCCAAUGUAUUACCUUUAUUUGAAUGAAAAUAAAAUGGUAACAACAUGCACUGGUUGCGUGUUGUAGAAGUUCCGAUUAAACUGGCUGAAGCAGGACUGAUUGGCUCGUAGAACUGAAAAGU